rnacentral:rRNA from 1 species
GUCCACGCCGUAAACGAUGUCGACUAGCCGUUGGGGUCCUUGAGACUUUAGUGGCGCAGCUAACGCAUUAAGUUGACCGCCUGGGGAGUACGGCCGCAAGGUUAAAACUCAAAUGAAUUGACGGGGGCCCGCACAAGCGGUGGAGCAUGUGGUUUAAUUCGAAGCAACGCGAAGAACCUUACCAGGCCUUGACAUCCAAUGAACUUUCCAGAGAUGGAUUGGUGCCUUCGGGAACAUUGAGACAGGUGCUGCAUGGCUGUCGU